AUUUUUUAAAAUCAUAGCAACUAUUAUACAAUUGAAUGGUAAUUUAUGCUAAAAUUUUAAAAUCAUUUAUCCAACUUUCAAAAAAAAAAAAAUCAAUUAUCCAAACCAGCAGCUUAUUGAGAAAAAGCUGCAAGUUGUGGGGGAGCUUCCUCCACCACCACCAUGAAGUUAAGCCAGAGCCCAAUUUCACAAGCAAACCCAAUCAUGCAACUUCCUUUCUCAUCAAACAUUCCAAUUUCUUCACACUCAUUCUCUCCUCCUCUCACUUCAAUCUCAACCUCCCUUCAAUUCCCACGCGCCGUCACUACUGCAAACCAAGCCACCAUUACCAACGAUGCAGAACUGCCAACCAUGUCCGAAAUUCUAUCAGCAUCAAAAUCACAGAACCUCCACCUUCAACUCCAAACCCUAGGACCCUUUUUCAGAAUCACUGCCAGAAGCUCCGUCACGGAAGCAGAGCUCGGAAAAGCAGAGGGAAUCGUAAGAUUCUGGGUUGGAGGUAAAAUUCUUCACCUGGAUUCCAUCAAGCUCCGCAGAGAAACACUCAACAUGGAAAAAUCGAUUUUCGGGCUUGGAUUGUACAUUGGGGCUGUUGCGAUUCGACAUGGGUAUGAUUGUGGCUGCAAAACUGCUCAGUUGCUUGCCAUCAAUGAUUCUGAUCUUUACCAUUCUAAGUUGAUUAGGUUCUACACCAGACUUGGAUUUAAACCUGUGUACGAAGUGACUGGCUCAUCGAUUGGGGAUCUUGCGCACCAGCUUGUGUGGGGAGGUGUUGGUACCCGCAUGGAUGCCAGUGUUGAGGAACUGAUGAUAAAAUGGUGUAAAAGAUUUAAAACAACACCCAACAAGUGAUUUCAUCAGUCAGUGACUCGUCUUUCUUUUUAUAUGUAGAGAGGUUCUCUGGCAAAAUAAAGGAAACUGCUCAAGAUUCUGAAGGAGCAUCCAAUGCCAGAGUCAAAUCAGGCAUACCUGUUUUUUGGUUGAAUUUGAGAUUUCCUUCAUGACAUCUCUGAACCAAUCAAAGGAGCUUUGCUCUUUUGUAACCCAAUAAAGAUAUGCUUUUGAUGGACCCUUUGUUAAGCUGCAUUCUCUGAGAUCACUCUAUUUCAAAUGCCCAAAUAUGUUGUUUGUUUCAUGGAAUAGAAGAAGAGCGAUUGAAUUUUAAUAAAGGCGCUAUGACAGUAAGUAUAAAUAGCAGAAGAAGAAGAAAGCUUACAUGAUCACUUUGUGCUGUCUUCACACCUUGAGCUACAUCUUUGAGGAUGCUAAUGAAAGGUGUGGCACCUAUGCCAAGGCCAAUUAGCACCAGAAUGUCAUACUUUACAUGGUCUUGAGAGGCAGAACCAUAAGGGCCAUCUAUGUACAGUUUUGGACACCCUUGUAAUCCAGACAACACUGCCUGCGGAUAAUCGAACAAUUUUUAGACCUGAGAAUUUGAGAAGCAUAGUUCUUCACUUGAAAAAUUCAAUUGUUACUUUACCUCUUGGAAUAGAGCAUAUAUUUGGUAACUCCAGUCUCCAAGAGUUCUAAUGUGCACACUGAGGUAGUCAUCUUGUGGUCCUGAUGUCAAGGAAAAUGGAUGCCUGAAAAUUUAUACAUAAGAAACUCACAUAGACUCUAAAAUUUCCAUAACAAACUAGAUUAGUGGUACAAGGUCUCUUGAAUAAAAAAGAUCAAGCGAUGGAAGUAGAAGUACCAUUGAAAAGAUGAAAUUUGGGGGCACUGAAUGAAUAUAUACAUGCCACUCUGGUACUUAAAAC